rnacentral:rRNA from 1 species
UACAGAGGUCCCAAGCGUUGUUCGGAUUCACUGGGCGUAAAGGGUGCGUAGGUGGUGAGGUAAGUCGGAUGUGAAAGCUCCGAGCUCAACCUGGGAAUUGCAUUCGAGACUGCGUAGCUAGGGUGCGGAAGAGGGAAGCGGAAUUUCCGGUGUAGCGGUGAAAUGCGUAGAUAUUCGCAAGAACACCAGUGGCGAAGGCGGCUCACUGGCCCGAUACUGACGCUGAGGCACGAAAGCGUGGGGAGCAAACAGG